rnacentral:rRNA from 1 species
AACGAACGCUGGCGGCAUGCCUAACACAUGCAAGUCGAACGAGACCUUCGGGUCUGGUGGCGCACGGGUGCGUAACGCGUGGGAACCUGCCCUUAGGUUCGGAAUAACUCCCCGAAAGGGGUGCUAAUACCGGAUAAUGUCUUCGGACCAAAGAUUUAUCGCCUUUGGUUGGGCCCGCGUUGGUUUAGCUAGUUGGGAGGGUAAAAGCCUACCACGGCGACGCUCCAUAGCUGGUCUGAGAGGAUGAUCAGCCACACUGGGACUGAGACACGGCCCAGACUCCUACGGGAGGCAGCAGUGGGGAAUAUUGGACAAUCGGCGAAAGCCUGAUCCAGCAAGGCCGCGUGAGUGAUGAAGUCCUUAGGGUUGUAAAGCUCUUUUAUCCGGGAUGAUAAUGACAGUACCGGGAGAAUAAGCUCCGGCUAACUUCGUG